rnacentral:rRNA from 1 species
UACGGAGGAUCCGAGCGUUAUCCGGAUUUAUUGGGUUUAAAGGGUGCGUAGACGGCCUGUUAAGUCAGGGGUGAAAGACGGUAGCUCAACUAUCGCAGUGCCCUUGAUACUGAUGGGCUUGAAUGUACUAGAGGUAGGCGGAAUGUGACAAGUAGCGGUGAAAUGCAUAGAUAUGUCACAGAACACCAAUUGCGAAGGCAGCUUACUAUGGUAUUAUUGACGCUGAGGCACGAAAGCGUGGGGAGCGAACAGG